CCUGAGAUGGCUGGGCCGCUACUACUGCUUCCAGGGUAACCAAUUCCUGCGCUUCGACCCUGUCAGGGGAGAGGUGCCUCCCAGGUACCCGCGGGAUGUCCGAGACUACUUCAUGCCCUGCCCUGGCAGAGGCCAUGGACACAGGAAUGGGACUGGCCAUGGGAACAGUACCCACCAUGGCCCUGAGUAUAUGCGCUGUAGCCCACAUCUAGUCUUGUCUGCACUGACGUCUGACAACCAUGGUGCCACCUAUGCCUUCAGGACCCACUACUGGCGUCUGGACACCAGCCGGGAUGGCUGGCAUAGCUGGCCCAUUGCUCAUCAGUGGCCCCAGGGUCCUUCAGCAGUGGAUGCUGCCUUUUCCUGGGAAGAAAAACUCUAUCUGGUCCAGGUGGCACCCAGGUAUAUGUCUUCCUGACAAAGGGAGGCUAUACCCUAGUAAGCGGUUAUCCGAAGCGGCUGGAGAAGGAAGUCGGGACCCCUCAUGGGAUUAUCCUGGACUCUGUGGAUGCGGCCUUUAUCUGCCCUGGGUCUUCUCGGCUCCAUAUCAUGGCAGGACGGCGGCUGUGGUGGCUGGACCUGAAGUCAGGAGCCCAAGCCACGUGGACAGAGCUUCCUUGGCCCCAUGAGAAGGUAGACGGAGCCUUGUGUAUGGAAAAGUCCCUUGGCCCUAACUCAUGUUCCGCCAAUGGUCCCGGCUUGUACCUCAUCCAUGGUCCCAAUUUGUACUGCUACAGUGAUGUGGAGAAACUGAAUGCAGCCAAGGCCCUUCCGCAACCCCAGAAUGUGACCAGUCUCCUGGGCUGCACUCACUGAGGGGCCUUCUGACAUGAGUCUGGCCUGGCCCCACCUCCUAGUUCCUCAUAAUAAAGACAGAUUGCUUCUUCGCUUCUCACUGAGGGGCCUUCUGACAUGAGUCUGGCCUGGCCCCACCUCCCCAGUUUCUCAUAAUAAAGACAGAUUGCUUCU
rnacentral:lncRNA from 1 species